rnacentral:rRNA from 1 species
UACGUAGGGGGGCAAGCGUUGUCCGGAAUCAUUGGGCGUAAAGAGCGUGUAGGCGGCCCGAUAAGUCCGCUGUGAAAGUCCAGGGCUCAACCCUGGGAUGCCGGUGGAUACUGUCGGGCUCGAGUCCGGAAGAGGCGAGUGGAAUUCCUGGUGUAGCGGUGAAAUGCGCAGAUAUCGGGAAGAACACCCGUGGCGAAGGCGGCUCUCUGGGACGGUACUGACGCUGAGACGCGAAAAGCGUGGGGGAGCGAACAGG